CCCUGGGUCUAUGCCCACAAAGCCUUGAACACCGUGGGCUUCACCAACAGAACCUCAGGGUGCCUCAGCCACAGCUUGCAGAAUUUCAUGUUGGAAUGGUUCUUCCCAAAGUCAUUAGUGUACUACACAUCCUAUGGACGUUUCAUCCAUCGGGCUAUGCUGAAGUCCCUUUUCAAAUAAUGUAUUUUCACCUUCCUGAUGGUUCUUGUGGAAAGGAGCCGGACCAGGACCACGACCAGGACCGUGCAGAGCCAUUGGUUGCUAUGUUCCAAACGCUAUCCUUGUAGUAUUAAAAUGAUGGUUGCAUCACAAUUUAAUAAAUCCCUCAUUAUGCA